GUCACAUUGACCUGCAGCACCAGCUGUCCUCUCAGUGAAAACACAAACUACAUUUGGUACAUGAACAGUCGGCCUCUGAGUCUGACUAAAACACCAAACAAACAUCUAAUUAUAGAUGCAGUUAGCAGUCAGGAUGAAGGAAACUACUCCUGUACUGUUGAGACGAUCAGCUCAGCUGGAAAGACUCUGACUGUACAAAGAAGAAGAAGAAGAACAACAACAACAAGAUCCACUUCAGCAUCAACAGUAAACUGGAAACCAGCGGCUGCAGGACUCUCUGUCUUUUUUUUGGUCCUGGUACCUUUGGCUGUUUUCUUGUAUAGGAAAUUCAAGCCCUCUCAUCCGUCUUCUAAAAGUGAAUCUGUCAACAAUAUGGAUGAGAUAAAUACUGGUCAUAUGUAUGAGGAGAUUGCAGCUCAACCAGCAGAACAGGAACUUCAUUACAGCCAGAUAGCUUUGGAGAAAAUAAACCCCAUUUACUCCAGCUUCCAGCAGCAUCAAGAGCAAGAGCAUGUCUCCUACUCUGUGGUCAAAACAGGAACAAGCACAAAUUCAGAUUCAACCAGAUAAAACCAACAACUGUGAGUCUGACUAUGUGUUGAGUUAUUUAUUUACUUUCAAGACAGUUUAAUUGUGGUUAAAAUGAUAGUUUUAAUAAUAAACAAAUAAAAAAUAU